rnacentral:lncRNA from 1 species
GUAUAUAGCACGUUGGGAUAACAAAUUUAAUCUAUUAAUUGAAGCCAUAGCACAAAUAACAAAUGUUAUAAUCGAUCUUACUAUUAUUUAAACAUUUAAAAAAACGGUAUAUUUACUGUCUUGAUUAUUCUUUACGAAAUGUUAUUUUAUUAAGAAAAUAGACGGUCCACUAGGAUCCAUUAUUUCUGUAGUUGAUCAUGUACAAUGUAUAGACACCACGUGAUUCACGUACGAACCCCGAGGGACUUUGCCUCGCAUGCCAUUUGAACUGUGCAUGCGUGCAUGCUUGAAUGUGUUUACCCGAGAGCACAGAUGAUUAAAAAUCUAAUUUUUAAAAUUAAAAUGCUUUGUCUAGUCUCUAAUUAUAUUACUACUCCUCUAAUUAAUCCUUGAACAUAUAUAUUCAAAUACAGAUUGCUCUCUCGGGUAUAUUGGAAAUUAAGGGAGUGGAUAUUAAGCACAAGAGUGAGAUCAAGAGCGAUCAACAUGGUAUCUUGGUGUCGGCAAACAGCAUUGGUGUUUACCACGACCACUUCUACAUUUACCAUCUUGACCUUGACAUUGAUGGUGUUGCCAACUCUUUUGAGAAGACAAGUUUGAAGACUGUAAGAGUGACAGAUGGAAGUUCGAAGAGGAAAAGCUAUUGGACAACUGAGGUUGAAACUGCCAAGACUGAAAAUGAUGCAAAGAUAAUACUUGGGUUG